rnacentral:rRNA from 1 species
UAGGGAAUCUUCGGCAAUGGGGGCAACCCUGACCGAGCAACGCCGCGUGAGUGAAGAAGGUUUUCGGAUCGUAAGGCUCUGUUGUAAGUCAAGAACGGGUGUGAGAGUGGAAAGUUCACACUGUGACGGUAGCUUACCAGAAAGGGACGGCUAACUACGUGCCAGCAGCCGCGGUAAUACGUAGGUCCCGAGCGUUGUCCGGAUUUAUUGGGCGUAAAGCGAGCGCAGGCGGUUUGAUAAGUCUGAAGUUAAAGGCUGUGGCUCAACCAUAGUUCGCUUUGGAAACUGUCAAACUUGAGUGCAGAAGGGGAGAGUGGAAUUCCAUGUGUAGCGGUGAAAUGCGUAGAUAUAUGGAGGAACACCGGUGGCGAAAGCGGCUCUCUGGUCUGUAACUGACGCUGAGGCUCGAAAGCGUGGGGAGCGAACAGGAUUAGAUACCCUGGUAGUCCACGCCGUAAACGAUGAGUGCUAGGUGUUGGAUCCUUUCCGGGAUUCAGUGCCGCAGCUAACGCAUUAAGCACUCCGCCUG